CAUCGCUCAACGGAUAAAAGCUACCCCGGGGAUAACAGGCUUAUCUCCCCCAAGAGUCCACAUCGACGGGGAGGUUUGGCACCUCGAUGUCGGCUCAUCGCAUCCUGGGGCUGUAGUCGGUCCCAAGGGUUGGGCUGUUCGCCCAUUAAAGCGGUACGCGAGCUGGGUUCAGAACGUCGUGAGACAGUUCGGUCCCUAUCCGUCGCGGGCGCAGGAAAUUUGAGAGGAGCUGUCCUUAGUACGAGAGGACCGGGAUGGACGCACCGCUGGUGUACCAGUUGUCUUGCCAAAGGCAUAGCUGGGUAGCUACGUGCGGACGGGAUAAGUGCUGAAAGCAUCUAAGCAUGAAGCCCCCCUCAAGAUGAGAUUUCCCAUGGCGCAAGCUAGUAAGAUCCCUGAAAGAUGAUCAGGUUGAUAGGUCAGAGGUGGAAGCGUGGCGACAUGUGGAGCUGACUGAUACUAAUAGAUCGAGGACUUAACCAAC
rnacentral:rRNA from 1 species